rnacentral:rRNA from 1 species
UGCGCAGGCGGUUUUGUAAGACAGGUGUGAAAUCCCCGGGCUUAACCUGGGAACUGCAUUUGUGACUGCAAGGCUAGAGUAUGGCAGAGGGGGGUAGAAUUCCACGUGUAGCAGUGAAAUGCGUAGAGAUGUGGAGGAAUACCGAUGGCGAAGGCAGCCCCCUGGGUCAAUACUGACGCUCAUGCACGAAAGCGUGGGGAGCAAACAGGAUUAGAUACCCUGGUAGUCCACGCCCUAAACGAUGUCAACUAGGUGUUGGGGGAGGAGACUUCCUUAGUACCGCAGCUAACGCGUGAAGUUGACCGCCUGGGGAGUACGGCCGCAAGGUUGAA